rnacentral:rRNA from 1 species
ACAUGCUUAUAGCAUAGCGAUCAUGCACCGGAUCCCAUUAGAACUCCGCAGUUAAGCGCGCUCGAGUUAGAGUAGUACUGGGAUGGGUGACCGCCCGGGAAGUCCUAGUAUUUUACAUGCC